rnacentral:rRNA from 1 species
UGGGGAAUAUUGCACAAUGGGCGCAAGCCUGAUGCAGCAACGCCGCGUGAGGGAUGACGGCCUUCGGGUUGUAAACCUCUUUUAGCAGGGAAGAAGCGAAAGUGACGGUACCUGCAGAAAAAGCACCGGCUAACUACGUGCCAGCAGCCGCGGUAAUACGUAGGGUGCAAGCGUUGUCCGGAAUUAUUGGGCGUAAAGAGCUCGUAGACGGUCUGUCGCGUCUGCUGUGAAAUCCCGAGGCUCAACCUCGGGCCUGCAGUGGGUACGGGCAGACUAGAGUGCGGUAGGGGAGAAUGGAACUCCUGGUGUAGCGGUGGAAUGCGCAGAUAUCAGGAAGAACACCGAUGGCGAAGGCAGUUCUCUGGGCCGUAACUGACGCUGAGGAGCGAAAGCGUGGGGAGCGAACAGGAUUAGAUACCCUGGUAGUCCACGCCGUAAACGUUGGGCGCUAGAUGUGGGGACCAUUCCACGGUUUCCGUGUCGCAGCUAACGCAUUAAGCGCCCCGCCUGGGGAGUACGGCCGCAAGGCUAAAACUCAAAUGAAUUGACGGGGUCAUAGCUGUUCCU